UACGUAGGGUGCGAGCGUUAAUCGGAAUUACUGGGCGUAAAGUGUGCGCAGGCGGCCGCGCAAGUCGAGUGUGAAAGCCCCGGGCUUAACUUGGGAAUUGCGCUCGAAACUACGUGGCUGGAGUGUGGCAGAGGAAGGUGGAAUUCCAGGUGUAGCGGUGAAAUGCGUAGAGAUCUGGAGGAACACCGAUGGCGAAGGCAAUCACCUGGGCCUGAACUGACACUGUGACACGAAAGCGUGGGUAGCAAACAGG
rnacentral:rRNA from 1 species